AUUGAACGCUGGCGGCAUGCCUUACACAUGCAAGUCGAACGGUAACAGGUCUUCGGAUGCUGACGAGUGGCGAACGGGUGAGUAAUACAUCGGAACGUGCCCGAUCGUGGGGGAUUACGAAGCGAAAGCUUUGCUAAUACCGCAUAAGAUCUACGGAUGAAAGCAGGGGACCGCAAGGCCUUGCGCGAACGGAGCGGCCGAUGGCAGAUUAGGUAGUUGGUGGGAUAAAAGCUUACCAAGCCGACGAGCUGUAGCUGGUCUGAGAGGACGACCAGCCACACUGGGACUGAGACACGGCCCAGACUCCUACGGGAGGCAGCAGUGGGGAAUUUUGGACAAUGGGCGAAAGCCUGAUCCAGCCAUGCUGCGUGCAGGAUGAAGGCCUUCGGGUUGUAAACUGCUUUUGUACGGAACGAAAAGACUCUUUCUAAUAAAGUGGGUCCAUGACGGUACCGUAAGAAUAAGCACCGGCUAACUACGUGCCAGCCGCCGCGGUAAGAC
rnacentral:rRNA from 1 species